rnacentral:rRNA from 1 species
ACGCUCGACACCUACGGGAUGCAGCAGUGGGGAAUAUUGCACAAUGGGGGAAACCCCGAUGCAGCGACGCCGCGUGAAGGAAGAAGUAUUUCGGUAUGUAAACUUCUAUCAGCAGGGAAGAAAAUGACGGUACCUGACUAAGAAGCCCCGGCUAACUACGUGCCAACAGCCGCGGUAAUCUGAGCGGGCUGGCAAGGC